GACAAGCCAUACUGUCUUUCCUCAUCUACUCCACAACCAACGAUGGUAACAAUGUUGACGAGGCAGAGGAAAAGGGGAGGGGACUUUUCAUGUGGGGAGAGACUGGGAACAAGAGGGAUAAACCUCUCCAUGGCCCUUUUGUUGCAACCAUCCUAAAUGAUCUGUUUGGCAUCCAAGCUCGAGGUGGGUGUGCUUGUGCUGGACCUUAUGGCCACAGUUUGCUUGAUAUUGAUCAGACUCGAUCCCUUGCGCUCAGAGAAGCUAUUAAAAGGGCAUCAGCUCAAAAUUUUCAAUUUUUUUUUUGACCAAAUGAAAGAGAAGUAAAAUAUAAUUCAACUUAUCUAAUGCCAGUUGCAAAGUUUGAUUACAGGGCUACAUAGUAGGAAAACCUGGAUGGACAAGAGUCAGCUUUCCUUACUACAUGUCAAAUGAGGAGUUUGAAUACAUUCCUGCGGCAUUGGAGUUCGUAGCCAUCUAUGGCCAACGAUUUCUUCCUCUAUACCAUUUCAACCUGAGAACUGGUAGCUGGACUUUCAAGAAGAAGGCACUUAAGGACUUGGUAGGAAAGGAGAAUAGUCACGGCAUCCAUGUCUUGCCUUUGGCUAGUGCUUUCCAGACAAUAAGCUUGGACCGUGACAAAAUUGAUGCAGGAAAGAAUGAUAGCUCUAUCAUCCUUCAGUAUGCAUCAUAUUUGAAAAGUGCCAAACCAGUCGCUGCUCUCCUUCCCAAGUUUCCAUCUCGAAGGAGGUUUCACGAAGAUUUAGAUCUUAACCUCCUCCCUUUUAGAGUCUAACUAUACUAUCAAAAAUUGAUUCGAGUUCAUAAUCAAAUUUAUCUAUUUUUCCACACUUCAUUGGAAUAUUCUCACAAAGCAAAAGCAAAAAAUUAAACUAGCUCAAGCCUGUCAUGUUAGCAGACUUUCCAAUUACCUGAAAUCUGUUGUAGUGCCUGACAAAUUGGCUGAUACAUAAUCCAAUCUGGUCAAGACUUGUGUAAUAAUGGUGUCAUGCCCCAAAACUAAGACGUAACACGGUUAUAUUGUCUUCAAAUAAAACUUUAAAGUAAUACAAAAUAUUUCUUUUUAAUCAUUUUAAAAUUAUUUAAUAAAAAUAAUUUGCCCAAGUAAAAUUCAUAAAUUUAAUCUAACUAAUGAUACAUCUCUAUAUAUCUAAAGGUGAAUUAAUAAAAAAAUUAUAAAAUCAUUUCAUAAGAUCUCACUAGCUAACAAUAUUUCUAAUGCCCAAGUAAUAUUUUCAAUUUGAUCUUCUAGCUUUUAACAAGACUAAACAUACUUAUCACUUACUCAUGUGUAAAGAAAAGGUAAAAAGAGAAUGAAUAAAUUACAGCUCAGCUAGUAUAGGAUCAUUCACUUUAUCGGAUCAAGCAUCGAUUUCAUACAUAUCAUAUAGAUGUUGGAAAAAAACAACACCCACGUACAGCAACCACACACAAAAUAACAAGCUCAAAUCAAGAAUAAAAAUACACAAAUAUAUUUGGUUCGGCCCAACUCAAAAUGGCCUACUCCAAACCAAAUCCACUAUCAAAUAAAUCUUUACAAUUGUGAGACUUUUAGAAUGAGAAAAGUCUCCUAAAACUCCUUACUCAAAACUUAACCCAAAACCCAAUUACACCCUUUAAUAGCCUACUCACUUAGCUAUUCUCUUGGUGUCUAACUCUUUGGGGUUACUAAACUAAAACCAAAACAUCUUAUUUAUAAGGAUGAAACCCUUUAUACCUUUACUAAACUCCCGAUGUGGGAUACAAAAAGAUUAUUCAAAACAUUUUUCAAAUAAUAAUGUCAAAAUAUUUCAAAAUUCAAAAUCAAAACAGAUCAAUUAAUAAAUCAUUGCAAAAUAUGUUGCCAUUCAAAUAUCGUAAUUAAAUCAAAUCAUGAAUCAAUCUUUAAAAUCAUCAUCAUCAUAAAUCAUCAUUAUCAUUAGUUUAUCAUUAACUAUGGUCACUACUAUAAUCUGUAAUAUUGACCGUAUCGAUAAUUUUAUCUUUAUGAUCAUUACUAACUAUUAUAACCUGUUGGCCAGAGCUUUACGCUAACUACGAUAACCGUUAGCAUGACCAUAUGAUCAUGACUAUUAACUACUAUAAUCUGUUAGCUAGGGUCGUAUAACUAGUUUUGAUACCGAUAAUCCACGUCUCAAAAUGUAAAAUAUGUAGCUAUUAUAAAAUCAUUCAUUAAAAAUAAAUCAAUUUCUCAUUUCAUUUAUAAACAUGAUCCAUCAUUUAUAUAGCAAAACAUAAAAUAAUCAUAAAGCUCACCCCAUUUUCUUAUAUCGAAAAUAAAGAAAUAAAUUUCAUUUAUUUAGAAACAUACAUAUAUACAUAAGUUUCAAAACAAGUAAACUGUGUAAGAUUUUACUUAUUUUCUUUCAAUUUCACCACUUAGUUUUUCCCCCAAAAUAGUUAAUGAGCUAUUAAAAAUCAUUUCAAUAUAACAAAAAUUAAUCAAUCCUUUUUAAGACCAUUAAUACUAAAAACAACCAAGUUAUAUAAGGGUUAACUAACUAAUUUUGGUAGCCUGCACUACUUGCACUAAAAUGACCCUAUCUUAAGAUAUCCAACUCAAAAUUAAGUUUUUUUUAGUACGUUAGAAAUUAAACUCAAUAAAAUUUUUAACCAUAUAUGGCCCACCUCAUAAUUUCUUCUAGAUUAAUUGUAAUAACUUUUGCAAUCCAUGUCAUAUGCUACUAUCAGAUAGUAUGUAUAUUUUCAAAUAAAAAUUAUAUAUUUAUUCAUAAAAGACUCCAUAUUCAUUUGUGCUUGUUUCAUCGAAAAUUAGACUCAAAAACCUUUUCAAACAUAUAUGGCCCGUAAUUUCUUGUAGAUUAAUUGUAAUAAUUUUUGCAAUCCAUGUCAUAUUUUGCAGCCAAAUAGCAUUUAUAUAUUCUAAUCAAAAUUAUAUAUUUAUUCAUAAAAGACUCCAAAUUCAAUUCCACUUAUUUCAUUGGAAUGUGGACUCAAUAACCUUUUCAAACAUGUAUGGCUUUGUUCUUUAAUUCAUUGUAUAAAAAUUAAGAGAAAUUUUGUAAUUUCUCAUCGCUGCUGCUGUCAGAAUGCCUAUAUAUCAUUAAGUAAAAAUUAGACAACUCUUAACAGAAAACUCAGAUUUGACUUACAUUUGUUUCAUUGAAAAGUAGAUUCAGCAAGCUUUCUGUUAGCCUUGAAUUGAUCCUUAUUUUAAAAUGACAAAAAAUUAAAGCUAAAUAAACUUCAUCAAGAUUUUGAAAAAGGAUUUAUUUAGUACAUGUUCUUAAGUUUUAUAUUUUGGUACUAAAUAAAUAAUACAAUUUUCAAAGUUUAAACAAACCUUUCUUGGUGUCAUAUUUCUCAAACCAAAUCUAUCUUUAAAGAUUAUUUAUUUGAGCUUAAAUGAAAGUCCAAUUGUUGUUUGUAAAGUGAAAUUAUUCAUUUUGGACUUAAUACAAUUUGAUAAUAUUGGUUUUGAGAAAUAGAUUAACUUAAGAAAGCUAUUUUACAAUAACAAAGUUUUCCAACAUUGAACUUGUUUUUUUUUUUUUUGUAUUAAUUCACAAAGUCGUAAUAUUUGAAUUUUAUAUGGUUGGAAAGCUCUUUGAGUCUAUUUCUAAUGGAUUAAAUAAAACCAAAAUCCAAAUUUUCUAAGAAAAGAUUUUGAAUUUUUACUAGACACUCUACAGUUGUCAGAAAAACUGCACAAUGAGUAAUUUUGAAAAUUCACUAUAAUUCGUACAUAGCGAAUUAGGUGAUGAACUUUAUAUGGAUAGAAAUAACUUUAAGUCUAGUUUCUAAAUCUUCAAACGGUUUGUGAUUUGGAUUUGUAUAACUCAAGAUAUGAUCAAAUUAGUGAGUAGAGUGCAGAAUAGGAGAUAACCACCCAACCACUGACAGGAUCGAUCCCCUCAUGGACGGGAUCGAUCGGUUCUAGGAGAAAACACUCUAACGGCUACUUUUUGGUGUUUCCAAUGGCUAUUUUCUUCUCCCAAACACUUGCAAUGACUAUUUUCUUCUCCCAAACACUUUCAAUGACUAUUUUCUUCUCUCAAACACUUCUAACGGCUACCUCUUCAAUUUCUCUAUAAAUUGGGCACUCCAACACACCAAGAAGAUUGAUGAAUCAAGAGAGCAAGAGCCAAUAAACUACAUUUUCAUUCUCUCAAAGAAUCAAUAGUUUUUAGAGCUUCAAAGUCCAUAUCUUUGUAUUUAUUGUAUCCAAUUUUUAUUUGUUGUUCAUUCAUCAUUUUCUUGUACUUAAACAUAGCAAACAUUUAGCCUUAGAAAGAUUGUUCUAUUGUUUGCAAAAUUACCUUUGAUAAACAAGGGUGGAAGAGAACAAGAGGUGAGGUAUCUCUUGAGAGCUUUGUAGUGAGAUAGGGUAAAAUACUAAAAAGGGUAGAGGUUUCUAUCUUAAGCCUUAGAAAGAAAAAGAUAAGUUGUAUUUUUAAUUCAAGAAUAGUGGAUUGAAGCCUUGGUGUGAACAACCAAGAAGAGAGGACGUAGGUGCCUUGUGAAGAAGGAUCGAACCUCUAUAAAUCAUUGUAUUCGAUUUCUCUAUCCCUAUCUCCUUACAAUUUAUUGUUGUUUAUAUUUGAUUUUAGAUUCGUUAAUUGUUAUUGUUUGCAUUAUAUUUUCAUCAAAAGUGCUUAUUGUUUUAAUUUCCAUUCAACUAUAUUGAAAUUAUUUGUUUGGGAAGAAUUUGAAGAAAUCCAAUUCAACCCCCCAUCUUGGAUCACCAUCUAACCUAUAAAGCUAACAAUUGGUAUCAUAGCUUUGGUCUCUUUUUGUAGGUUUAACCACCUUGAGAAAAGAUCUUAUGGCUCAAUUUUGGUUCCAAGAUGGUGAGGAAGUCCUUAAAGCUCCUAUGAUUGAUAAAUUUGAAUUUUGUGAAUGGAGAAGGAGGAUGAAGGUGUUCAUUAUGGCCCAAGAUUUUAGAGUUUGGAAUGUGAUUGAAAAAGGACUUGGAACUCCUUCAAAUGAUGUAAAAUACAUGAGGUAAGUGAUGGAUGAUGCUAAGGCCAAGUACUUACUGUAUGGAGCUCUUGACUCCCACAAAUUCAACUUGGUAUCAAAGUGUUCAAACUCAAAUGAGAUAUGGAGAAAGUUGGAUGAGCUACAUGAAAGACAAAUUUCCAACCAACAUCCAACAUGUCUCAUGGCUAUUGAGGAACCAAAGGUAACCUCUAACUCUUGUGAUUCAAACUCUUGUACUUUUGAUGAGUUACAAGAUGCUUACAAUGAUUUAGUAAUUGAGUUUGAAAAUAUGCAUUUGAAACAUAAGAAAAUGAUUCAAAAUUGAAAGUUGAAAAUGAUCUUUUGAUGAAUGCAAAAAAUGUUUUAGAAAAAGAAAAUGAAAAGUUGAAAAUAGAUUUAAAAACCUCUCUAAGUAGAAAUGAAUUUUUAGAAAAAGAAAAUUUUUAUUUGAAAAAGAAAUUUGAUGAUUUGAUGAAUGAAAAACAAAAUCUUUUAAAGAAUUCAUUUAGUACUAAAAUGAUUAAAUGUAAUUUUUGAAAUUUUCAUGGUCAUACUACACAUACUUGUCCUAUUAGAAGAAAAGUCCUAUUUAGAAUUAGGCAAGUAUGGGUUCCAAAAGGAACAAGAGACUUGGUGACUAACUCUCAAGGACCCAAAGCAAUUUGGGUACCAAAAAUAAAAUGAAAUUGUCUCUUGUAGGUGUGCUAUAGCAAGGAGCCACAAUGUGAGAAUGAAGAUUGAAUACUCUAGACACACAAUGGAGAUGGGUAACCUCUAAACUUUUAUUUGAAGAGAAUUUGAAUGUGGUUACCUAUUUUUAAUGAAAUUUAAAUGCUUGAUUGAUUAUGCAAAAUUUGGUUAACAUUGAUUACAAGACAUAUGUUGCAUAAUCUUGAAAAAAUGUGAGCUUGCAUUCAAUAUGCAUUUAUUUUGCUCUUAAGUAUGUUUGAAAUGCUUGUUGAAAUUGUUUGUGGUGUUAAAUUGCUAGAGCAUACUUUUGUUGAUAAAUUUUUUAUUGAUUUGUGAUUGUUAAACAUGCUUAUAUGACCAUGAUGUUUAAAAUUACCUAAUUUGUUUAUAAUGCUUGAAUCUUGUGAUAUAUUAUUUAAACUUGAUUGUUAUAUUCUAAAUUGUUAUAACUCUUGAUUUAUGAAUUUAUGAACAUCUUGUGCUUAAAUUAUAAAUAUUGUUGUUUGAUUGUUCAUAUUUUGAUUUCUUAUGAUAUAAUCUUGAAAUAUGCUUUAAUUCUUUAUCCUUAUUAAUUCAAGAUUUAUUUCUUCUCUUGUGUUGAUGAAUUGAUGAACAUUAUGUGCUUAAGUGAUAUAUAUUGAUUCUUUGUUCAUCUAUGUUUUUGGUCAAGAUAUGUGCUCAUAUGAUAAUUGGUUCAACUUGACCUUAAUGCUUAUGAUUUGAAAAUACUUAAAUUUUUUAUCUCUUGAUUUUUAAAAUAUUUUUUAUAUACUUGCUCGUGUGCUAAAUUGAUUCAUUAAUUUUGUGAAAUAUUUUGGAUCUUGUGCUCAAUUGAUAUAUCUCUUGAUUUGUGAUUUUGAAUAUGAUGAACUACUUGCUUGUAAAUGAUAUAUGUGAUUGGUUCAUUUAUUGUUCUUGUCAAGUGUGUGCAUAUAUGAUAAAUGUGAUUUUUCUUGACUUGACAUGGUUGCAACAUGACUUAAGUAAAUGAAUUUAUUAUGAUGCCUAUUUUUAGCUUAAGUCAUUGUUGAUUAUGGCCUAUAAUUUAUGUAGACAUAUUUAUGCUUCUGUGCUAAAAUUUUCUUGAAUAUCUUUUUGAUGAUAAAUAUGUCUUCCUUGAGUUUUUAGUUUUCAUAUGGCCUAAAAUUUAUUUUGGCAUAUUCUUUGGUGAGUUCUUGAAUAUACAUGAAUAUUGAAUAUGUCUAUUUUGUGUUCAUGAAUGAUCUAAAAGGUUUGAUUUUUGCACAUUACAUGAGAAUUUUUGCUUUAGUGCCAUUCUUGUGCUAUUUGAUGUUUAAAUUGAUAUAUGGCCUCUAGCUUAAGUAUAUAUCUCCUUUGCAAUUGGUAACUUGUGCUUAGUGAAUAAAUUUUCUUUUGCCUAUAAUGACUUAGAAUUUGAAAUUGUUUUCUAACAAUUGGUAUAAUUUUUAUCAAUUGAUUUUCUUGAUGCUUCUAAUGAAAAUCCUUUGUCAAGAAAUUUUUCUAAGUCUAUGCUAGGAAAACUCGAAAUGAGCAUGAAUGAGCCUACAUUUUUGGAAUUUCAAGUAUAACAAGUAAAGCAUGUCAUCCUCAUCAAUCAAGCCUAGUUUUGCUCAAAUAAAGUGGAUUGGAGAAUUUAAAGCCAAAUGAGCACAACAACAAAGCUUGACAUGGAUGGAGGUAAAUGUAUCAACUUUAUGAUAUGAUGUACGAUUUGAGUACAUAUACAUGCUUGCUUUAAUAUGUGCAAAUAUAUGAUUUUGUUGUUGAAUAUAUGAACACAUUGCACAAAUUAAUCACCAAGCCACUUGGUAGAUAUUGUUAUAACAUUUUUGAAAGCUUGGAUUGAUUAAUUCACCUUUAUUGAUAUUCAUGCCUAGUUCUUGAUUGCUUCAAUUAAUAGUUUUUAUUGCAUGAAUAUUUGUUUGAAUCUUUGGACAUGGAUAUGAAUUGAAUAUAUUGAUUUUUUUUUUAUCUCUCAAUUGCCUUGACUCAUGGAAUAUGAACUUACAAAUUUGAAAUUUAUAUGCAUAUUCAUUGAUUGAGAUCAUUGAGAUAGCAUGUACCACAUUAUGUCUAAAUGUUUGUAUCUUUAUUGGUAUAUUGCUAUAUGUGAUUUGAAAUACUUUUGCAUAUGCAUGUAUGGUUUUGAUUGAAAAAUAUGUUUGAAUUGUAUUUAUGUACUUGCAUAUGUUUGGAUUAAGAAUAUUGCUUUGCAUUGAAAUAAUUUAGAUUAUAAUUGAAUAAUUAUGUUUUCAUUAUUUCUUUGCUAUAGCAUAUGUGCUCAUCAUGUUUGGAGAAUCAUGCUUGUAUAAUCUUUGUUAUGACAUGAUGAUAAUUGAACCUCAUUGCUCAUUAGUACUUAUGAUUUAUUAUAUACAUAUGAGCUUUUGGUUCUUGUUUGGAUAGGAUAGCUUAUGAAAGAUUACUAUUAUCAUUUAUGCAUGUAUUGAAUAAAUCUUUCAUAUUCUUAAAGGAUGUUUGUUCUAUGAAAGUUGUUGAAUAAAAUUGCUAACAAUUGGUAUCAAAAUUGCUAAAGAUUUUUUUUUUUUUUGCUUUCAUAGAUGAUUAUUUAUGUGCCUAUCCUUGAUAUAGCUUGUACCUUUCAUGCAAAAUUAUGUGUGCCUUAAAUUAAUUAAUCCUUAUUUUGAAAAUGAGGAGAAAUCUUAUAAUACAAUUUUGCUUGAUUUGUUUUGUAAUAACAAUUGGUAUACUUCUUGAUGACAUAUCUUUAACAAUUGGUAUCCAUAACAAUUGAUAUGAGCUUGUAUGCAUGUGCUUGAAUUUAUGUUUAAUUGCUACUGAUGUUUUAGGUUCUAAGCACAUCUUAUGAUAACAUGAUUUAUGAGUAGAUUGCAUAUCAUUCAUUAUCCUUUGCCCAUAAAUUUCAUGUAGUAAAUUUGAUGACUUGUGCUAAAAUGCCAAAUUUGGAUACACUUAUGCUUUUGUGCUUGAAUACAUGUAUGUGAACUUUAUUGUGCAUAUUACACUGGAUUACAUGCAUUCAAAAUACUCUUGAUAUUAUUAGUAUCAAGCAUUCUGUCCCAUGCCUUGAAUUGAUCUCUCUUUCUUUUGAAAAAGGGGAAAGAAUUUAAAGAUAUUUCUUCUUAUUGCAAUUGAUAUAGAAAUUUAAACAUUUGGUAUAUAGAGCCUAAACAAAAGGGAGGAGAAAUGUUUUAUGAAUAUAUUUGUUAAUGAUGCCUCUUUGUGUUUAUUUGCUCAUUAAUAUGCUCAUGCCUUUUUGCUAUGACAAAAAAGGGGGAGAAAUAUCAUAUAGACAAAUUUGCUUGUGCUUGACAUGCAUAUCUUUGAUUUUGUUUAUUUCAUAUAUUUGACUAGCAUAUGUUUGUUAAGUUGUGUUGGAUUAGGAUGCAUAAAUUGAGGGAGAGUUUUGCCAUUGGAUUAGGAUGCAUAAAUUGAGGGAGAGUUUUGCCAUUGGAUUAGGAUGCAUAAAUUAAUGGGGAGUUUUACCAUGCAUUGCUUAAGGGGAGUUUUCCAAAAUGUCUUUCAAAAUCUUAAAUGUUUCAAAGAAAGUUUUUCAUCAAGUAAAUUUAUCUUUAAGUUUUGUCAUAUAAAAAAGGGGGAGAUUGUUAGCCUUGAAUUGAUCCUUAUUUUGAAAUGACAAAACAUUAAAGCUAAAUAAACUUGAUCAAGAUUUUGAAAAAAGAUUUAUUUAGUACAUGUUCUUAAGUUUUAUAUUUUGGUACUAAAUAAAUAAUACGAUUUUCAAAGUUUAAACAAACCUUUCUUGGUGUCAUAUUUCUCAAACCAAAUCUAUCUUUAAAGAUUAUUUAUUUGAGCUUAAAUGAAAGUCCAAUUGUUGUUUUUAAAGUGAACUUAUUCAUUUUGGACUUAAUACAAUUUUGAUAAUAUUGGUUUUGAGAAAUAGAUUAACUUAAGAAAGCUAUUUUACAAGAACAAAGUUUUUCCAACGUUGAACUUGUUUUAUUUUUUUGUAUUAAUUCACAAAGUCUUAAUAUUUGAAUUUUAUAUGGUUGGAAAGCUCUUUAAGUCUCUUUCUAAUGGAUCAAACAAAACCAAAAUCCAAAUUUUCUAAGAAAAAAUUUUGAAUUUUUACUAGACACUCUGCAGUUGUCAGAAAAACUGCACAAGGUGUAAUUUGUAAAUUCACUAUAAUUUGUACACAGGAAUUAAGUGAUGAACUUUAUAUGGAUAGAAAUAACUUUAAGUCUAGUUUCUAAAUCUUCAAACGGUUUGUGAUUUGGAUUUAUAUAACUCAAGAUAUGAUCAAAUUAGUGAGUAGAGUGCAAAAUAGAGUAACCACCCAGCCACUGACAGAAUCGAUCCCCUAUGGAAGAGAUCGAUCGGUUUUGGGCGAAAACACUCCAACAGCUACUUUUUGGUGCUUCCAAUGGCUAUUUUCUUCUCCCAAACACUUCCAACUGUUACCUCUUCAAUUUCUCUAUAAAUUGGCACUCCAACACACCAAGAAGAUUGUGAAUCAAGAGAGUAAGAGCCAAUAAGCUACAUUUUCAUUCUCUCAAAGAAUCAAGUUUUUAGAGCUUCAAAGUCCAUAUCUUUGUAUUUAUUGUAUCCAAUUUUUAUUUGUUGUUCAUUCAUCAUUUUCUUGUACUUAAACUUAGCAAACACUUAGCCUUAGAAAGGUUUUCUAUUGUUUGCAAAAUUACCUUUGAUAAACAAAGGUGGAAGAGAACAAGAGGUGAGGUAUCUUUGAGAGCUUUGUAGUGAGAUUAGGAAAAAUACUACAAAGGGUAGUGGUUUCUAUCUUAAGCCUGAGAAAGAAAAAGAUAGGUUGUAUUUUUAAUUCAAGAAUAAUGGAUUGAAGCUUGGUGUGGACAACCAAGAAGAGAGGACGUAGGUGCCUUGUGAAGAAGGACCGAACCUCUAUAAAUCAUUGUGUUUGAUUUCUCUAUCCCUAUUCCUUACAAUUUAUUGUUGUUUAUAUUUGAUUUUAGAUUCAUUAAUUGUUAUUGUUGCAUUAUAUUUUCAUCAAAGGUGCUUAUUAUUUUAAUUUCCAUUCAACUAUAUUGAAUCAUUUGUUUGGGAAGAAUUUGGAGAAAUUCAAUUCACCCUCCCUCUUGGAUCACCAUCUAACCUAUAAAGCUAACACUUUCCAACAAUAUAUAAUACUUAAAGUAAUAAUUUAUCCAUUAACACAAAUUCCAUUUUAAUUCACACUUGCAAAUUAUAGCAUCUCAUCCAAAAAUAAAAUUUCUCGUUCAAUUUUUAAGAUGAAAAAAUAUGAAAGAGGCAUAAUAUAUAGCCAAUUGAAAGAUCAAUGUCUCAGUAUAACUUACACGAUUUUAGUAAACUACUUCUAGUAUUAUAUGCUAAGAUCAAGGUAUAAAAUAAUUUUAGCAUUGAAUAUUUAGAUUUCUUCACCCUAUAUACUCAAUAGGCAUUCUAGACUUCUAGAACCUAAUAUAAGUCCUAAAGUCAACCAAAUUAAAAAUUUGGGUAAGGCUCAUUAACACAAAUAAAAAACGGUAUUCCCGAGUGUACACAAACAAAAGCAACCAACUUAUCUAUUGCAACUUAUGGUUACUCCUAAUUUCGAUACUACUUUAUUGUUUCUUUCCAUCAUUUGGUUCACAAUAAACAAAAUGAUAUCCAAGUUCUUUGAAAAUCCCUAGAGCUGAUGGUUGUUACUCAAGUUCAUUUGGUUUUAGGACAAUGCACUUGUUCUUCAAUCUUAUUUACUGAUGUUUGAAGAAAUGAACAAUAAUUACUAUAAAACAACAUAAAAUCAUUGUGUUACACCACCAUUCUGUAAUAUAAUCCACCAAUCUAGGUCACCAAUAAAAAGAACUAAGGAAUUCAAUUCACAUAGUAACUUAUGGGUGAAUUCAAACAUACCGCUCUAUCUUAAUCCUUUAUUAGCAUGUAUGAUGUCAUAUAUAUGCAAUCAUGCCAAAUAGCCUUUUAAAAGGUUGUCACGGAAACCUCUCACAAUAAGUGAAUCACAAAAGCUUAGUACUUGAUUCCAAAAUCAAUUAUUAAAUAACAAAUAAUAUCAAUAUAAUAAUCUUAUGCCAUGUUUGGUGCAUAAGAAUACGACUUGAUAGGGUACAAUGAUAUUAUAAAUAGAAUUAGAUUAAAUAAUGUCAUCUUAUUUUGUGUUUGCCAUAUGUAAAAACUAGGACAGGAUAAUUUAUUUAUUUGUCAAAAUUAUCCUUAUUCAAAGUUUAUACAAUUUAAAUUAUUAAUGUAAUUUUUAAGGGUAUAAUUGAACUUGUAAGUUUAAUCUUAUAAAUUAAAAAUUAUCCUCUCUACUUUGAGAUGAUUGAAUAAUCCUAUACCAAGAAGAUAUUAAUCCUUAUUGCAAACCUUAUCUUUGUCUUUAGAUAGAAAUCAAAUUUGAUAUAGGAUGAUUAUCAUCAUAUUCUAUCAACAAUCAUAUGUACAAAUAUGACCUUAGUUACUAUUUUUAGUGGAACCACUCAACGACAGAGAAUCAUUUGUUCUAUUAAAACCGCUUCAAUCUAAAUUUUUGGUUUUAGAAACAAAUCUUUCACCACCAUUGCUCUUUAUAUAGUCUUCAAUCUUUGCUUUAUAAAUGUUUCCCAUUGAUAUCCUUAUUAGGAAUACUAGAGUGAGAAUUGUCAUAAAGUGGGCUAACUAUUAAUAGUUGGUUUUAAUAAUUUAUAAAAUUGGUUGAUGAGUUUACUCUUAAUACGAGAUAAGCAAGAGAGUUAAAUAAUUAAUGUGAUCACUUAAUGUAAGAUUUACCCCAUCUUACUAAGUCAAUCUGGUUUGGAGGUUUUUAUAGACCUUAGUCCUAGCAGUGUUUGAGUGAGGAGGUUUAAGGGUUUUCCAUAAAAUAGGUUCAGAUAACUGUUUUUUUUUUUUUUUUACUUUUAUACGAGUUACAGUUAUUGCUCAUUGAGUGUCACCAAUAAGAGAAGAGUGAAGAGGAAGACCUAGCCACCUUAAGGAUUGUUUCGUUUUGGUAUAUUCAUCAUGACCACCCAAAUAAGUAUGACAAAUCUCUUUAUUUGUUUAUGAUGUUCUAAUUAUCAAACAAUGAUCUUGGGUUAAUGUUUAUGUGUGGUAUCAGAGCUAUCAUUAUGUGAUAUUAAGACCCUAAAAUCGUGAUUUGUAAUUGAUUUUUGAACAAACAACAUAUUUAGGGUGAAAUUAUGUUGUUGUCAGAAUUUUAAAUUUUGAUCUUUAUUUUUUGACAUUGAUUUAGGAUUUUAGUUCCUCUCUAAAAAAGGAUUAAAAUUAUACAAAGAUCAUUUUCUAAUUCCUUAUAUCGAUAGAGAAAUCAAGGUUGAAAAUUUUUAGGUUUAAGUUUUAAUCUAAAUUCUUAUUUUGAUUAAAACAUCAAAUAUUUUAUAUGUUUAAUUCCAAAUUAAUUCUUCAAUCAUGUUUCUCAUGUGUUAUAAAGUUAAAUCAAAGCAUUUAAUUUCAUUUUGUUUUAGAUUGGCCAAACACAAAGAAAACAAAAAGAGGUCUAAUAUGUGUUUAUGUAAUUCAAAAAACUUUGACCAAUUGAUCUUAUUUUUGUCAUUUUUUGAUAUUUUUUCUUCAUGGGUUUGAUAAAAAAAUAAUUUUAUUUUUAGGCCCUUCAAUUUGAUUAAAAUACUAAGAAAAUGUAUAAAAAUGGUGGAAAAAUACGAACAAACCAAAAUAGGUAAAGAAAUAUUCUAGUCUCAUUAAGUCAACCUAACUAGAGGUUAAAGAAAACCAUUCCCCAUGUUAAACAAAAUUCUUGCAUAGUGGGCGACACGUGUGGCAUGUAUGGGCUUGUCUGGCAUCCAUUUUUGCUCUAGUUUCUUUUAGCAUACUUGGAAUUUUAUUUCUAAUUUUUUUUGAAAUUUUAAACUACAUGAAAUAUUUGUUUGACACUCAUGCAUUGCUCAGUAAUUACUAUAUGUUAUAUACAUUGUUUUAUUAUUUUAUUUUGUGAUAAAAUAUUUUGGUGUGUUGGGGGUUUAAUGAUAGUAGGUAUUCUUCCUAAAUAGGCCUUGAUAUUUAUGUACUCUCAAGUUGAAUCUUAAGUGCAUAAUUGAUUUAGUAAUUAAAAAUUGAUCAAGACUCUAGUUUAAAUUUAAUGUACACUACUUAUAAGACCUAAUUAGAUACAUUUAGGUUUAGUAUCUUAGUUAGAUAGUCCAUUGCAUACAUUAUGCUUGAGUAUGUAAACUGAGAGUUUUUGGGCAAUUAAUGAAAAUUUUCAAUUUGAAAAAAUCAUCAUUAAUUGAUAUCAGUGUUUGGUUGUCAAAGUGGCUCACUUAUUGAAAUUAAUGUAAUAUUUUGUCAUUCUAUGGUUACAGGAUGGUUAUUAAAUUAUCUUAUGCAAUUGACUUCCUAAAGGGGGUUAAUGUAUAGGUAAUUUGUUUUGGAAUAUAAAUCAUUAUGGUUGAAAUUGUACCAAUCUUGAAAAUCUAUCUGCCCAAAGGGGAUAUGUUUUUAAAAGCUAGGACAUUUUCAUAUUAGCUUUAUGUGGAAAGUUCCUACUCGCAUAUUACAUUCUUUAUCCGAAAAGGAGUUUGUGGUGAUGCACCAAGAACUUUCAAUGAUUGUUAGUACAUCAUGAACUGUUGCUAUAUAUUUUAUGAUAUUGCCUAUUUACUAAUGUUGCAUUUUUGUCUUGAAUGUUGACUUUUAUUGUCAAUAACAAUAAGCCACUAUUAAAGUUCUUCACGGGUCUAAUUAUAAAAAAUGAAAUGAAGAUUUAAAUUUUGCUUUGGUUAUGAAUAAGAUAGACAUAGCCUUACAUUUUUCCAAGCCUGCUAAUUUUACUGAUGAAAGCAUUGCUGAACAAAAGGAAUUUUUUCCCAAAUGGGAAAAGGUAAAUUGUAUACGUCUAUAUGUCAUUAAUAGGUCUAUUUUUGAAUACCUUUUGAGUGAGUUGGAUACCACAAAAUUGCUAGGGAUCUCUACCAUGCUGUAGGCAAUAAAUACCAAAAAUCCAAUAAGUGUAAAGCUAAGAACCUUAUGAAUGAGCUUACAAGUAUAAGGUAUGAUAGUGUUAGAAGUGUUAGAGAUUUCAUCAUAAGAACGAUCCAAAUUCAAACCAAAUUGACUUCUCAUGAAAUUGUCAUUCUUGAUAAAUUCAUUAUUCAUCAUGCCCUUAAUGCCUUACUUAUGGAGUUCACUCAGAUCAAAAUUGUCUAUAAUGCUAUGAAUGAGGUUUGAAGUGUUAAUGAUCUUAUUUAAAAGUUUGUCUUUGAGAAGAAAAACUAUAGAAAGAAAAGGGCGAGAGUGCUUUUUUUACUACAUACUCCAAACAUAAUUACAAAAGAAAUUAUGCGAAAUCUGGGAAAUUUGUUCCUAAUGCUCAAAAGAAAGUUCAAGAAACCAAGGGACAAGGUAGUCGUCAGAUUAAAAAGAUAAAAGGUCUUAAAGCUGUCAUUAAGAAAGAUAUCAAGUGUUUUUCCUGUAAAAAGAAUGUCAUAUGAAACAUAAGUACCCUAAAUAUCAAGCUUGGUUAAAAAAAAAAAUAAACAAGAAGGUAACUCACUAGCUCUCGUUUGUUUUAAAUCUUAAUUUGUUAGUGGUCACCAAAUUCCUAAUAGGUUGAUAGUGGUGCAACUGUUCAUUUUGCUAUUACCUUUGCUAGGAUUCAAAAACAAAUGAAAGCUAAGUGAGAAAGAGGCUAAACAUAGAGUUUGAAACAAUGUUGAAGUAGCCGUUAAUUAUGCAGGAAUAAUAGGCUUAAAUUUAGAAUCUGGCUUUGAACUUAUUUUGGAAAAUGUUUAUCAUACACCUUCAUUUAGGAGGAAUUUGAUUUUAGUUUUUAUUUUGGACAAACAUGGUUAUUAUUUUGGCAUUGGAUAUGGAAAAAUUGACUUGUUUUAAAAUUUAAAUGUUGUUGGUGAAUUUAAACUAAUUGACAAUUUAUAUAAACUGUGCUUAGCCUACAAUAAUUAAUAUAGUUGCAAUAAUGUUGAAAAGAUAGUGACUAAAAAAUCUUUAAGUAAAGAAAAUUCGUUGUUGAUGAAUUUAAACUAAUUGACAAUUUAUAUAAAUCGUGCUUGGCCUAUGAUAAUUAAUAUAGUUGCAAUAAUGUGGAAAAGAUAGUGUCUUAAAAAUCUUUAACUAAAGAAAAGUUUUUUUGUUGUGGUGUAAAAGGUUGGGUCCACAUUUCUAUUGAAGAAGUGCAAAAUUUGAUAAAAGAUAGUACUUUACCUUCCCUUGGUUUUGAAAAGUUAGACACUUAUGUUGAUUGUAUAAAAUGUAUACUAACUAAGACUAAGAAAAAUGAGGCAAUUUGCAAUUUUGACCUUUUCAAAAUUGUGUAAACUAAUAAUAAUGGACCUCUUACAUCUAUCUUAUGUGCUAACAAAUAUCUCUUAAUACGAGAUAAGCAUGGGAGUUUAAAUAAUUUAAUGUGAUCACUUAAAUGUAAGAUUUGCACAUCUUACUGGGUCAAUCUGGUUUGGAGGUUUUGUAGACCUUUAGUCUAGUAAGUGUUUGAUGAGGAGGCUUCAAGGGUUUUCAAUUAAAAUAGGUUCAGAUAACUUUUUUUUUUUUACUUUUAUAUGAGUCACGGUUAUUGCUCAUUGAGUGUCGUAAAUAAAAGAGAAGUGAAGAGGAAGAUCUAGGCACUUUAAGGAUUGUUUCACUUCGAUAUAUUCAUCGUGACCACCCAAAUAAGUAUGAAAAAUCUUUUUAUUUGUUUACGAUGUUCUAAUUAUCAAACAAUGAUCUUGGGUUAAUUUUUAUGUGUGGUAUCAGAGCUAUCUUUAUGUGAUAUUAGGACCCUAAAAUCAUGAUUUGUAAUUGAUUUUUGAACAAACAACAUAUUUUGGGUGAAAUUAUGUUGCUGUCAAAAUUUUAAAUUUUAAAUUUUGAUCUUUAUUUUUUGAAACUGAUUUAGGAUUUUAGUUCCUCUCUAAAAAAGGAUUAAAAUUAUAUAAAGAUCAUUUUCUAAUUCCUUAUAUCGAGAUAGAAAUUAAGGUUGAAAAUUUUUAGGUUUAAGUUUUAGUCUAAAUUCUUAUUUUGAUUAAAACAUUAAACAUUUUAUGUCUUUAAUUUGAAAUUGGUUCUUGAAUCAUGUUUCUCAUGUGUUAUAAAGUUAAAUCAAAGCAUUUAAUUUUAUAUUGUUUUAGAUUGACCAAACACAAAGAAAACAGAAAGAGGUCUAAUAUAUGUUUAUGUAAUUUGAAAAAUUUUAACUAAUUAAUCUUAUUUUUGUCAUUUUUUUAUACUUUUUUUUUCAUGGGUUUGAUAGAAAAAUAGUUUUAUUUUUGGGCACUUCAAUUUGAUGAAAAUACCAAAAAAAUGCAUAAAAAAUGAUGGACAAAUACGAACAGACCAAAAUAAGUAAAGAAUUGUUCCAGUCGCAGUAAGUCAACCCAACUGGAGGUUAAAGAAAACUAUUCCCCAUGUUGAACAAAAUCCAUUAAUAGUGGAUGGCACUUGUGACACGUGUGGGCUCGUUUGGCAUCCAUUUUUGCUCUAGUUUCUUUUGGCAUACUUGGAAUUUUAUUUCUAAUUUUUUUUGAAAAUUUUAAACUACAUGAAAUAUUUUUUUGACAUUCAUUCAUUGCUUAGUAAUUACUAUAUGUUAUACACAUGAUUUUACUAUUUUAUUUUGUGAUAAAAUAUUUUGGUAUGUUAGGAGUCUAAUGAUAAUGUGUAUUCUUCCUAAAUAGGCCUUGAUAUUUAUGUACUCUCAAGUUGAAUCUUAAGUGCAUACUUGAUUUAGUAACUAAAAAUUUAUUUUAAAAAAAAUUCAAUACUCUAGUUUAAAUUUAAUAUACACUGCUUAUAAGACCAAAUUAGACACAUUUAGGUUUAGUAUCUUAGUUGGGAUAGUCCAUUGCAUACAUUAUGAUUGAGUAUGUAAAUUGAGAGUUUUGGGCAAUUAAUGAAAUUUUUCAAUUUGAAAAAAUCUUCAUUAAUUGAUAUCUAUGUUUUGUUGUCAAAGUGGCUCACUUAUUGAAAUUAAUGUAAUAUUUUAUCAUUGUAUGGUUACGGGAUGGUUAUUAAAUUAUCUUACGCAAUUGACUGCCUAAAGGGGGUUAAUGUACAGGGUAAUUUGUUUUGAAAGAUAAAACAUCAUGAUUAAAGUUGUACCAAACUAGAAAAUCUAUCUACCUGAAAGGGAUAUGUUUUUUGAAAGCUAGGACAUUUUCAUAUUAGCUUUAUGCAGAAAGUUCCUACUCGCAUAUUACAUUCUUUAUCCAAAAAGGAGUUGUUGUGAUGCACCAAGACCUUUCAAUAAUUGUUAGUACAUCAUGAACUGUUGUUAUAUAUUUUAUGAUAUUGCCUAUUUACUAAUGUUGCAUUUUUGUCUUGAAUGUUAACUUUUAUUGUCAAUAAUAAUAAGCCACUAUUAAAGUUCUUCAUGGGUUUAAUUAUAGAAAAUGGAAUGAAGAUUUGAAUUUUGCUUUGGUUAUUAAUGAGAUAGACAUAGCCUUACGUUUUUCAAAGCCUGCUAAUUUUACUUAUUAAAGCAUUGCUGAACAAAAAGAAUUUUUUCCUAAAUGGGAAAAGGUAAUCUUAUGUGUCGAUAUGGCAAAAGAAUGAACAAGAAGGUAACUCACUAGCUCUUGUUUGUUUUAAAUUCUAUUUUGUUAGUGGCCCACCAAAUUCCUUAAUAUAUAUUAGGCUAUUUAUCAAGAAAUAUAUAUUUAAAAAAUUAUUUAGUUAUCGAAAACUUUCAAAUUUUAGAUGUAAGUAUUAUGGGAUAUGUAAAUGCCUAUAUAUAUAUAUAUAUCGUUUUUUGACACAUAAGAAUUUACCACAAAAAAUUAACUUAUAUGGAUAUCUACAUGGAUAAUUUUUAAAUUGUUAACAAUAAAAUCUAAUUUAGAUAUAUUUUUAUUAAAAAUAAAUUUCCUAAUAAUAUAAACAUAUUUUUUAAAUUUAAAAAUCUCAAUUGUAAUAAUAUAUUAUCUCUAAAAUGGGUUUAUAAAAUAAUUCUAUUUGAUAAAUUAUUUAAAUUCAAAAUGAAAACCUAUCAAAUAUGAAAAAUUUUGUAAAAAUCUUGAAUUAAAAAAUGUCAAUUCAAGAAUUUUUGUUUUUCUUAAUUUAAUCAUUUUUCAUGAAUAUAUAUGGACCAUAAAUUUUGAAUACAUAUUUCAAUUAAAAUUGAUUAGAUUUGUUUUUUACUAUUUCAAAUUUGAAAGAUAUGUUGUAUUUUUUAAUUCUCUUACCAUUAGAUUAUUUUAAAAAUUUAAUCCCAGCCACAGUCACUAAUCAUUUUAUCAUUACCAUUGCCAAGUUUGCGUCUAAAAUAGCAACGAAAGGCAUCGAUGAAAAUUUUUUAUUGUUUCAUUCCAAUCACAAUCACCAUCAUUUUAUUGUUUGAGAAGAAUCAUAAUUUGUAACUAAAUCACUUAUAAGUUGUGACAUAAUCAAUUGAUUUAUGUUUAGUUAAAUGAUUUACAGCUAGAGCUAGAGAUCCAACCAUUUAAGGAAAAAGCUAAGGACAAAGAACUUCUCUUUUAUAUACAUUUAUCUUUAUAUUAAUGUCACUUUUUUUCAAAUGGGCUAUUUUUAUAUUUAACCAUUUUCGAAAGACUAACAUUACCUUAAAGCGUAUGUAUUACUUACCUUAUAUAGUUAAAAUUAUAUCAAUUAGUAAUCAAAUUUUUAUGAUUUAUCUUAAAUCAUUCUUAAUUAAAUUAAAUUAUUUAUUUUUAAUAUGCCACUUCAUCAUAAAUACAAAUGAAUAGCCUUUAGUGUGGUAGAGUAUUGGUUUGAAGAUCUAUUUCACUACUUUUAUUUUGUUUUGGUUCUUUUUUUUUUUAUUUGAUCCAUUUGUUUGUUUCUUCAUCUUUUAUUUAUUUUUUAUAACUGUCAUAACAUAUAGAUCCGUGAACCUACUGCUAGACUCAAAAUGGAAAGGAGUUGCCACUAAUCUUUUUUGGUUAGGUGUGAUUGGCCACCUGAUUAAAGUUUAUCUAUAAAACAGAGGUUAGGUUCGAAAAUUGAUUGCGCAUGGGAAAGGUUAUAGCACCCAUAAAAUGCCCAUCAAAGGAAUGGCACCAGUUUGAUUUCGAAUUAUCCAAGCCUUGCUUAUGAUUUUCUAUUUACCAAAUAGUAAAUUUUAUAUUCCCCCACCCUUUUUUUAGAAUUUUUUUUAGAAAAGACAGAAUAAUUUUUUUCCUUCUUUUCUUUUUUUUUUUCUUUUUUUGAAAAAUAUAGAAUAAUUUUUUCCUUUUUUUUAAAUAAAAAAAUUCAAAAAAUAAAAUAUGGGUAAAAUAAAUAAAUUAGAAAAAAAUCAAAAACUAAAAAGAAAAUGUAAAAAGGAAAACUUACGGUCAGAUCGGGUUGGGACGCGGUUUAGUGCGCAGAUCUUUAGGUCGAAGCGCGAAUCCUGGCUUGACGAAACGGUGUCAUUAUGGAGCAGUAUAAAAAGCACAUUUUAGCAUUUUUUCUUAGAACCCUAGAGCCUUUCUCUCUUUACCCAAAAAAUCUCUGACCUCUCUCUAAAAUAUCCACUGGAAAGUUCAACCGAAAACUAGAAAUCCCAUUGGUUUUUGAAAACUUCGCCAAAAAAUUUAACUGAAAACUAGAGAAUCUAUCAAUUUUUAAAAAGCCACCGGUUCUAAAAACUUUGUCGAAAUCUCGUCGAAAAAUUCAACCUUCGUCGAAAAAUUUAACUGAAAAGUUCAAUGUUCUUCAAAAAUCCAAAAAAACACAAAAAAAUUUGAAAAAAAAAUAAAAAAUUCAAAAAAAUUCUCAGAUGAUUCUAAGCCCUUCCUGAACCUCUUACAACCUCAAAUCCUUUUUUAGAAUCCCAAAAUCAUGCCCAAAACUACAAAUCGAACUUAAAUCCCUAUCCUCGAAUCCCAGGAACCCUUACUGUCAAAAGUUUACCAGAGCUUCCCUAACAAUUUCCCUUGUGCUUUUUCUUGUAUCUGUGCGUCCCUUUGUGUCAUAAUUAGUCUAAUUUAUAAGCAGCCUAGGAUCAAUUCAAGAAAUAAAUAAAAUCAAUCCCAGGCUUGAUUCUUGGGAUUGCAUUAUGUUCAUAUCAGAUUUUAGGUCUAAAAUUUUAGCACCCUCCUGCUUAUACGAUUUGGGCAAUAAAAGUUUGACUAUCAUGGUUUUCGACUCUGAUUUUAUCAUAUGGGAAUCAGAACAAAAAUGAAAAGAAGAAGAGAAAAGAAAAAGAAAAAAAAUGAAAAUGAAAAUAUAUAAUAAUAAUAAUAAUAAUAAAUAUAAUAUGGUAUAAUAUAAUAUAACAGAAAAAAAAAUCAAAGAAGAAAAUAUUGAUAAUAAAUAGUACUAAUAAUAUAAUAAGAAAAAAUCUAAUUGGACCUUAACGGGCUUGAAUGGGCCUAAACGAGAAUGGGCCUAGUUGGGCUCGACUCCCAGCAAGGCUCAGACCGAGAUGUAUCCCACUGAGCUUGGAUGAGAAUGGGCCCAAAUCAGAAAGGGUUUUUAACUGGGCUUAAGCUAGAAUGGGCCCGAUUGGGCUCGAAUUGAAAUGGGUGUCCAUAGUUGCCCCUAUUUGCACAUCUUUGUUAGACGAGGAUGUUGCAAAGACCUAGACACCCACUAUGGACUUGAAUUCAAAAAAUUACCUAGACUGAACCAAGGUCGAGAAUAAAUGAUCGGAAUGAAACCACGAAUCAUGUAACCAAGAUUAAACCACGAGUUGAAAUAAAGCGAUCGGGAUCGAAUCGAGGUCGAAAAUGAAUGAUUGGGAAGAAACCAUGAAUCAUGUGAUCGGGACGAAAUCACAAGUCAAAAUAAAGUGACUAAGGCCAAGUCGAGGUCGAAAAUAAAUGAUCAGGAUAAACCAUAAAUCAUGUGAUCAGGACAAAACCAAGAGUCAAAACAAAGCCACCAGGAUUGAGUCGAGGUAAAAAAUGAAUGACCAAGAUGAAACCACAAAUCCUAUGAUCGAGAUGAAAACACGAGUUAAAAUAAAGUGACCAGGACCGAGUCGAGGUCAAAAAUAAAUGAUCGGGAUGAAACCAUGAAUCAUGUGACCAAGAUGAAAUCAUGAGUCGAAAUAAAGUGACCAAGACUGAGUCAAGGUUAAGAAUAAAUGAUUGAGAUAAAACCACGAAUCAUAAGAAAUGAUCUGUACUGAGCCAAGAUUAAGGGAGUGGAUAAUGCAAAUGUAUGCCUUAUCUAGGAUGCAAAUGAAUCAUUGAUUGUGAUACUAAGGCUUUUGUAUUCUCGUUUUAGAAGAGAAACCUUCAGCUAUUAUCCUACAUGUUCACUUUCACUGUACACUUUAACGAAGAAAUUCCCUUUCACAUUUGACAUGAAAAGCUAUUUUUCAUCAAUUUGGAGGUGCAUCUUUGACAAAGAAACCAUCUUUUAUCAACCUGAAAGUAUGUAAAGAAGCCAUCAACCUAGAUGCAUUUUGGUAGAAAAACUUUUGCGUCCACAUGUCUGCUCAUCCAAAGAGAGCCAUGUAAGUCUUUUUUUUUUUGGGUCAGCCUUUGCCUUUAUCUUUUUCAACCCUUCAAAAUAAUACACUUCUUAUGAUUUUGUUCAAUUAUUAAUCAUUAUCCCAAUUCUAAAGUAUGAAGAUGCAAAUUAUGCAUUUCUUUCAUUCAUGGUAAAGGAGAAGAAUAAUGUACAGGAUUUAGAGAAUGAUAAGAUGGCUUUUAUUUCUAUGGAUAAUCAAUUACAAAUACCGGUGUGAAGGAAGAAUAAUGUACAGGAGCAGCCAUUUAGGGGUAAUAGUGCCCCCAAAACAAAUGAUUAGAUAAUCAUGACAACAAAUCUCUGAUCUCCUUCAAAAACUCAAUUAAAACUUGAUGCCCGAACAUUUCAAAGCUCUUCAAAAUUUACUGCCUAUGAUAUGCCUUCCCUAGUAGUGCCAAUUGAAGCCACCUUCGAAUCUUUUCCUUUGGGUCCAAACUAACCUUCCACGUUUUCAAUUUAACCUUUUUCUCUACUUUUUUUUAUGGUUCAAACUGCUCUUUUCGGGUUUUCAAUUUGACCUUUUUCUCUUUUUUUUUUUGGAAAAUCAAGCAAAAUACUUCUUUACUACGUCAGAGUUGACAGGACCAGGAAGUUUAUCUCUAUCCAUUUUUGACAAAAUCAAGGCUCCCUAAAAAAAAGCUCUUUUUACCACAUAAGGCCCCUCCCAAUUUGGAGUCCAUUUUUCUCUAUCAUCAUGAUGACUUGGAAGACUCCUUUUCAACACCAAUUCUUCCUCUUGAAAUUAUCGAGGUUUGACCUUUUUGUCAUAAGCUCUCAUCAUUCUCCUUUGAUAUAACUAGCCAUGACAUAGGGCUGUCAACUUUCUUUCCUCGAUAAAGUUCAAUUGCUCAUAAUGUUUUCAAAUCCAUUCAACUUCUUCUAAUACCACUUCUCUUAAGACCCUUAAAGAUGGGAUUUUUACUUCCACUGGUAGCACAGCUUCCAUUCCAUAAACCAAGAAAAAGAGAGUAGCCCCAGUAAAGGUACAUAUAGAAGUUUGAUACACAUGUAGAGCAAACGGUAAUUUCUCAUGUCAAUCUUUGUACAUUUUAGUCAUCUUUUCCAGAAUUCUUUUGAUAUUCUUAUUCGCCACUUCUACUGCCUCAUUCAUUUUUGAGCGAUAUCGGGCUGAAUUAUGGUGUUUGAUUUUGAACUGAGCACAUAUUUCUUACAUUAUCUUGCUAUUCAAAUUCUUGACAUUAUUUGAUAUAAUUCUUUCUAAAAGCCCAUAUCUGUAAAUUAUUUCUCUUUUGAUGAAUGUGUAGACCACUGAUCUAGUCACUGUCGUGAAUGAGGUAGCUUUAACCCAUUUAGUGAAGUAGUCAUUCAUCACAAAAAUGAAUCUAUUCCCAUUUGAAGCCUUUGGUAUGAUAGAGUCAAUGACAUCCAUCCUCCACAUAGAAAAUGGCCAAGGUGGUGCUAUAACAUGUAAAGCAUUGGGCGGAGCAUGAAUCUUAUCAGCAUCUAGCAUUUAUGGCACCUUCGUGCAUAAUUGAUGCAAUCUUUUUCCAUCAUCAAUCAAUAAUAUCUAGCUCACAUGACCUAUCUCGCCAUCAUAUGCCCAUUUUCAUGUGCCCCACAUACACCAUUAUGCACAUUUUUAACAAUUCUACUAGCUUCAGAUAUAUUUACACAACGAAGUAACACUUAGUCCUUGCCUCUUUUGUACAAAGUUUCCUUAUAAAAAAAAAAUCCUAUGGCCAAUCUUCUUAAGAUUUUUUUUAUCAUUUUCUGUUGCUUAAUUUGGGUAUUAUUGAUUUUUUAAAUAUUGCAUGAUAUCCUAAUACCAAAGGUGACCAUCUUUCUCUUCUCCCAAGUUGGCAUAAUGUACUAGCAUAUCUUUGAUAUCCAAUUUGAUUGGCUAGAUUUUAGCGGUAUCAUUAUCUGUACCAUGACGGCCAAGGUAGCCAAGGCUUCGCAAUCUGAUUUUCUUCCUAAGGUUAGUGCUCAAAAUGAAUUAUUUUAAAUUGUUUGCAUAGCUCUAAAAUUUAUUUAUGAUAAGGGAUGAGUUUUGAAUCCAUUGUCUCCCACUCAUCUUUGAACUAAUAAAUGACUAGAACUGAGUCUCCAAACACCUUUAAUAUUUCAAUCUUCCUACCUAAAGCCGUAUGUAGCCCCAUGACACAAGCUUCAUAUUCAGUGACAUUAUUGGUGCAGUUGAAAUUUAAUAUUGUUGUAAUAGGAUAGUAGUGCUCCAUUAGAGAUAUCAAAACUGCUCUGAUUCCAUACCCCAUGGCAUUAGCGGCCCUAUCAAAAUAUAUCUGUCAUGCUUUUUCAUCAUCAUCAUCUUCUUCUGAUUCUAGAAUGACCAUCAAUUCCUCAUUUGGGAAAUCAAACUUCAUGGGUUCAUACAAUAGCCCUGUCUACUAAGAAUUCAGCAAUGAUACUUCUUUUGAUUGCUUUUUGACUUAAAUAUAUUACGUCAUAUUCAAAAAACAACACUUGCUAUCUUGCAAUUUUUUUGAUAGUGAAGGUUUCUCAAAGACAUAUUUGAUGGGAUCUAAUUUAGCUAUGAGCAAAGUGGUAUGGUACAGCAUAUACUGCUUGAGCCUUUUAGCCAUCCAAGCUAAAGCAUAACACAUUUUCUCUAAUGAUGAAUACUUAGACUCAUACUCUGUGAAUUUCUUGCUAAAUAAUAAAUAGCUUUCUCUUUCUUACUAGAUUCAUCUUAUUGGCCCAGCACACAUCCCAUCAAACCCUCAUAUACCAUUAGGUAUAGAAUUAGUGGUUUUCUUGGGAUAAAAGGUGCUAAUAUUGGAGGGUUUAGUAAGUACCACUUGAUUUUAUCAAAAGCUUCUUGACGUUGUUCAUUCCACUCCCGAGAUUAUUCUUUCAAAGGAGUUUAAAAAUGGGGUCACAUUUGAAAAAUGAACCAGGAGAUAUAAUUUAAUCUACCCAAGAAGCUGCGAACCUCCUUUUGUGUAUUUGGUGAAGAUAGAUUUUAAAUGGCCCAGAUUUUAUCUAGAUCUACUUCUAUCCCUCUUUCACUGACUAUAAAUCCUAGCAUCCUUCCUGUUCUGGCUCUGAAUGUACACUUAGCUGGAUUCAAUUUAAGCUGGAACCUCAGUAACCUUUUCAAAUAACUUUUUGAGGCUGAUUACAUGAUCCUCUUAUUUUGAAACUUGGUGAUCAUGUCGUCCACAUACACCUCAAUCUCCUUAUGCAUCAUAUUGUGGAAGAGUGUCACCAUAGCUCUUUGAUAAGUUGCCCUAGCAUUCUUUAGCCCAAAAGGCAUAGCUUUGUAGCAAAAAAUCCCUCACAUAGUGAUAAGAGUAGUUUUUUCCAUGUCAUUUGGAGCCAUUUUUAUUUGAUUGUACCUAGAGAAUCUAUCCAUGAAAGAGAAUACUAAAUGUUAGGCCAUAUUAUCCACCAUAGUAUCGAUGUGCGGUAAAGGAAAAUUAUCCUUAGGGCUAGCUUUGUUCAAAUCUCUAUAGUUUACACACAUUCGUACCUUACCAUCCUUUUUAGGAACAAGUACGAUAUUAGCCACCCAUUUGGGAUACUUGUCCACUUGCAAAAAGCCUGCAUGGAAUUACUUUUUAACUUCCUCUUUGAUUUUCAAUAACAUCUCUGAUUUUAUUUUUCUUAGCUUUUGCUGUAUUGGUUUGUAUUCUGGUUUCAAUGGUAACUUAUGCUCCACUAUUUUAGUGCUGAGUCUAGGUAUAUCUUGGUAAGUCCAAGCAAAAACAUCCAUAAUUUCUUGGAGCAAAUCCUCUAACCACUGUCAGUCAACAACCGAGAGUAAAGUACCAAUCUUGACUUCUUUCUUAUUUUCGGGAUCACCCAAAUUGAUCAAUUCGACCACUUAUUGAUGAGGUUCAAUGGAUUUAUCCUUCUAUUCAAUUAGCCUCAUUAAAUCUAGAGACAAAGUAUAUUUUUCAAACUCUUUUUUAGUAUCAAGUUCAUCGAUAUUAAUUGAAUUUUUAAAGUUAAACCCCAAAUCAUUGUCAUGAUUAUCUUCGCAUUCAUUUGGGGACCUGAAAGUUAAUAAAAUAGAAAAUAUUGGUGAGAGAUUUUAAUGGUAGAAUGAAUGGAAUGGAAGAAAUGAACAAAAUGCAUGCUCCUACUUUUAUUGAAAUAAUAAAAAAUAAAAGGCCCAAACAUGAGAUUUCAUCUUAAUACUUUUGGGCAUAAGCGAUUAGGAUAUGUGAUUACAUUAAAGGAAAAUAAAAAACAAUAGGCAUUUGGAUGACCCUCCAAUUCUACAAUUCAUAUCCUGACAAGCAAGGGUAAACCAUAGCUUCCUCAUUCUGGCUUCCAUCAUCCACCAUAUGAAUGGACAAAUUGGCAAAAGCUUCCUCCCACUUUGGUUCUUCUAUUGCAUCCUUUUCAACUUUUGGAAAUAUGUGUCCUCCAGAAGUGAAAAUCUAAUUUAAGUGGGGAAAAACUAUCAAUUUGUUCCUUGUCCUACUACUAAGGCUUGGUACUCCCUACAUCUCAUAACCUAAUCCUAUUUUACCGCUAUUAUCCUCAAGCUUUAGGAAUUCUCUCAUCCCUUGAAGGUUCUUGCCCAGAACGAACCCAAUACUCCAACCCUUAUUGACCAUCUAAUUAAUCAUAAUUUGAUUGAAUUUAAGCCCUUUACCCAUUGUAUUAAUAGGUUCAAAGGAUCUGUAUAAGCACUCUAAUGAUUCUUCUACCACUUUUACAUAUAAGGCAUUUAUGGGUCGGGUUACCAGUAAAUCUUCCUCCCUGGCCACAAUCACCAAUUACCUUUUUAUAUUAAACUUGAUUUUUUAGUGCAAUGAAGAAGGAAUGGUGCCUGCUUUGUGGAUCCAUGGUCUUCCUAAUAAGUAGUUGUAUGAUGGAGAGAUAUCCAUAACUUAAAAUUUUAUAUUGAAAACACAUUGACCAAUCUGUAUGGGUAGCUCGACAUCUUUUAAUACUUUUCACCUAGUCCCAUCAAAUGCUCGAAUCACCAUUUGACUAUCCUAGAUAUGAGACAUAUCAAAAGGUAAUUUUGCCAGAGUAGGCAUAGGCAUAACAUUAAUGGCCAACCCAUUAUCAACAAGGACCUUGGCUACUAUGUGGCCCUUGCAUUUGAUAGUGAUAUGUAAUUUCUUGGUAUUUUUUAUGCCUUCUAGUGGGAUCUCAUUAUCACUAAAGGAGAUAUAGUGUGGCACUACCAGAUUGCCUACUAAAUUAUUCACAUACUCCACGAAGACAUUAUGGGUCACAUAAGCCUGAUUCAAUACAUUUAACAAGGCAUUACAAUGUAGUUCAGAGUUCAAGAUAAGUGAUAAUAGAAAAAUUUUAGCUGACAUCUUAUUCAAUUACUUUACCAUAGAGUACUCAUUAUGUUUGAUUAGCUUCAGGAACUCACAAGCCUCUUUUUCAGGCACAAGUUUUGAUGUAUCUUUCUCUGAGAUUUCUGGUUCAGUUUGCUUCUCAUUUCUUUUUUCUAAUUUAUUUAAAGUUUUUGAGUAUAACAUCUCUCACUUCUAGUUAUGCCCCUUACUUUUGUUAUGUGAGUAGUUUCAGCUUUAGCAUAUCUUUUUGUUACCCUUGAAUUGUUACCCCACAUUCAUAAUUCCAAGGUACUACUUAUUGUUUUUAUAAGAAAAUGGGCAUGAAACUUUGAGAGCUAUUGGUUUGGGAACAAACUUAUUCCCAGCUAAUUAUGGUUUCUUCUUACAGCGUAUAAUGAUAGGUUUCGGCACCCACCUGUCUAUUAUAGCCACCUUGAUGUCUUUUAAACCUUUCGACUCUUCAUACAGCUUUAUUUGGUAAGAGUUUAUUAAUUUCUGAACUUCACCAUGAAACUGUUUGUAGGCAUCAACUAAAUGACUUGAUACCCCACCAUGAUAUUUAUAUAUUUGAGUUGGGCUAGAUUUUUUCACAUAAGUGCAUAGAGCCAUUAAUUGUAUCAUCCCAGCUUCAUGUAAGGCUUCAUAUAGCUAGUUGAAUGGCAUAUUAAGCUUUUUUACUCUUUUUUCACAUGUUUUUUAUCCGUGUCCAAAGCAUUAAUCGUAUGACUGGGCAAAAGGUUCCCACUGACAUUAGGUGUAAAACUUUCACUUGCAUCAAAGCUUACCAACCCUUCCUUAAUCAAAUUUUAUACCUUAUAAUUAAAAAAGACAUAAUUUUUAGUAAACUGCCCCACCACUCUGAAAUGAUAGUCGCAAUAAGCAUUAGAGUCAUACCACUUGGGGUAAGAAGGUUCAAGUUAUUUUUCAAGGAUAAAAGCUAUUAAAUGGUUUUUGUAGAGCUCUUGAUAUAGCUCCAUAUAGCUCAUAGGUAUGGGGUUAAAGGUUGGUCUUUCUCUGGUUCGUGGUUCUCUGGUAUUACCUGUGGCACUUAGUGGGUAAGUAGGGGACCUUGGAGAAUAUGGAUAAGAUGAUCGAGUAGUUGAUUGGUAUGGGGAUGUAGAAGUAUAACUUAUUGUGUGGUGGUAUGUAAGGUAAACAGGCUGAGUAUAGCUUAUAAAUUGCUACCCUUCUAGACUUAUAGCUUGAGUCCCACUCUCUUUUUUCUUAGGUGCUCUUUUAGAAGACUUACCUCUUUUAAGCUACCUUUUUAUGGUAUUUUCGAUGUUUUCUGCCAAAAUCAUAAUGUUUGCAAAGUUCUUAGUCGCAUUUCCAAUCAUCCUUUCAUAAUAAGGUGACUUUAAAGUACUCACAAAUAGCAUAAUGAUCUCUUUCUCUGUUAAAGAGUGUUGUACUUAAGCGGCCACAUCCCGCCACCUUUGAGCAUAUUGCUUGAAGGACUCAAACAUUUUUUUCCAUUGCUUAUAGGGAGAGACAAUCGGGAGCCAUGUCAAUGAUGUGUUGGUACUAAUUAAUAAAGGAUCUGGUCAGAUCUUUCCAUGUCUUGAUAUGAGUUCCAUCUAAUUGGACAUACUAUCUAGCCUUAACUCCAGUCAAACUAUCUUGAAAUGCAUGUAUGAGUAAUUUCAUUACUAGCAUGUACAACCAUUUUAUGACAGUACAUGGUAAUAUGCAUGAUAGGACACUUGGUAUCAUCAUACUUCUCAAAUUUUGGUACUUUAAAUUUUGAUGGCAUCACUGCAUCUAACACUAGGCAAAGUCCCACUGUAUCUAUAGAUCUGUAAAAAUCUAUUCCCUCUAUAGCCUUUAACCUUUCUUCCAGCUUGUUUAUAGCCUAAUCAAUUUUAGAAUUUUCCAAGGGCAUAGCUACCUAUGGCUUUUUUUUUCCUUUAUCUCAUCUAUAAUAGAAAGUUGAAUGGGCUCGACUGCUUUCUCUGCAAAUACAAGAUUAUCAUAGCUUUGGACAUUUUCAUGACCUAAUGCAUAAGUCAUUCCUGGGUAGUUAUACUUUGAAAGGCUGCCUUUUGAGGCUGGAAGAAUGGUGUGGCUUGAUUUUGUGGUAGGCCGUAGCUUGGAGGAUAUGUUGAAUUAGUAGCUUCCUGUGAGGUAUCUUUUUCCAUUAAUUUUCCUCUAUUUAUCUUUUCUAGGGCCUCUAGAAUUUAGCUCAGUUUUUCCUCUAAUGCUUCUUGGGCUUUUUCUAUCUUUUUGAAGUAGCUGGCAUUAUCUUGUUCCAUCUUCCUUGCUUGAACCCGAGUAUUGUAUUGAUGAGUAGCUAUUCUCGUACCUUAAUACCAUAAUUAAAAAUUCAAUGAUAAUGCUAUGGUAAUGAAUGCAUGAAUGAAUGUGAUGCAAAAGCAAGAAAACAAAAAAAAAAUAUUUACCCCUUGAAAAAGAUCUAACAAAAUAAACUUUCAUUUAUUCCACAGAGGUCUAUUUUACAUCAAACCUAAUAUUGUUCCUCUAUAUAAAUGCCUAACUUGCUCAUACUGGUCUUUGGCCUCCAAAAUUAAGUUCAAUAGUUUCUAUCCAUGCUCUCUUGCUGGUGUGAUCAAAGCUCUCAGAGUCCCAGCCCUUUUUGCCAUCUCACCUGCUUAGAUCAUGGCCUUGCCUAUCUGAGCAGUAAGGUGUUCUAUGUAUUUUGUCUUCCCAACCCCUCUCUUUUGCCACAUUACACCUUAUAAGAUAAUUUUUUGUGUUGUUCUGUAAGGAUUCUGACAUGAUUUUUUUGUUCCCUCAAUUUUAAUGUCAGAGUUAGGAUGUGAUUUGAGAGCCAUUGAUUUUCUUGCUCAACCUCUAUGAAAGCAUUUUCUAUAUGGUCGAGCUCCUCUUUUAACUCUUCAUUUUUGUGAGCCAAUUCAGUAUUAUUUAUUUUUUUGGCUUGUACCUGUAUACGCAACCUCUUAUGCUCCUAUUGUAACUCAUUCAGCUCCUUUAGGGCGUCAUUCUAUUCCCUAACAAUUUUUUGGGCCUUAUUGUACUUUUUGGAAAUUCUAUGGGCUUGAACUUUGAGUUUCUCUGUUUUAUUUUGCCAUUGGUCCUUUUUUUCCCACAGCUUCAAGACCUCUUGUCUCAAUUUCUCCUUAUCCAUUUCAUGUUCUAAUUUCGAAAGCUAUUUAUCAGACUCUUGACCCACUAGUAAGUGGUAAUCCUGAGGCAUAAAUACAAUCUCUUGACCUAUCCUCUUUCGCCAAGUCAGAUAUCCCUGAGUGAUCCUAUCAGUGAAUGGCCCUAAGCUUACUCUCUUAGGCUUCUUCUAGGCUUUGAUUAUGCUGUUAAUCUUUUAGAAGGUUUCGAGCUCCCUAUAUGAGUAGUCAAACUGGCCGAGCUUGUGGGUUAUGGGAAUAAACUAUUCAGCUUCGUGCUGCCUCCUUACCAUUAAUGGGGCAUAACUUGUUAACCCCCAUAGGCCUAGAAGUGGGACCCCUAUCUCAUCUCCACAUUGGUAAAACAUAGGUUCUCUGCCCAUCCAUAGAGUUAACCAUUUUACUUGACUAGCAGUGAGUCUUUGUAACAGACAUUUCCACUCAUUCUGAGUUCUUGCCUCUGGCCAAGUGCUCUGACAGAAUUUCCUAAUCGAAUUUCGAGUGUAGAGAUAAAGUUUGGUAAAAGAACUUUUCUUGCAUUCAAAAUGGCUUUUCAUCCAUACAUAUGAUAAGGGUAUGCAACCCAUGAAACGUGUUUUGUCUAUCUGCCUAUAAAAACUUAGAAAUCUGAUAGUUUCUACUAAAAUAACUGGUGAAGGGUUACAACCUCUUUUGAUUUGCUUAAACAGAUCCAUCAUUUCUAUCUCAACGUGUCCUAAGACCUUAGGGAAGAUGACCAACUUAUAUAUGGCUAGAGCAAAUGCAUUCAUUCCCUGGUCAUCAUCUGGAUGCUUGAUAAUGAAAGCUUGGAAGACCCCGUAUGGAAUACUUUUAUGAUCACUUUUUUUUCGAAUGUAUGAAUCUAUAGUCUCCUUUCCCACUCCUAGCAUUUGGCUCAGUUUCCUAUGACUCCUUGACUUGUAUUUCUUCAUGUAUGUUCAAUCUGGAUAUAAUAGAUGUAUACCCAUAAUAGUUGAGUACUCUUCAAUUAUUGGUACCAAAUCAAUCUCAUUAAAGAUAAAACACCGGUAGGAGGGAUCCUAAAAUUGUAUCAUCACCUUGAUUAGUGAGUAGUCAACCUCCACUAACAAGAGAUAUGCUAUAUGUUCAAACUUCUCACAGAAGGUUUCCUGCCUCGAAAGGGUCAUACCACUCCAUAUGUCUGAUAGGCUUUUCAAGGUGUUGUGUUUAAGAAGUAAGUGGACUUCUCUUGAUAGUGUAGAGAUGUGACCAAGUGGUAAACAAUCCUCUUCUUCUAACUGUCUCCUUUUUGAUUCAAUCUUCACCUCUAUGGGAGAAUCACAUUUGAACAACAUAAAGGAGGUACAAACCUAAUGUUCUAUGGAAUCCAUAAGGAUUUUUGCUGAAAUAGUUUUGGGGCAAGAAUAUUAUGCAAUCUGCAAACAUGUUCAUGAAUGUGUGGAAAAAGAAAUAAGAAGAAACAAAGAAAUUAGUUAGUCAUUUCAAUGAAAUAUAGGGAAAAUAUAGUAGUUAAGAUAACAGCAUGACCUAGAAUUUUAGAUUUUCUACAAAGAGUGGGAAAUAAGGCUCUAUCUACGGUUGGGCUUCUAAAGUCAAUUAUAUGUGGUUUAGGCCACUUCUAAAAGGUUCCCAAAUUGUUCCUUACAUCAAGGUCUAUUACAAACUAGUAAGGCACCCUAAUCCUCACCCAUCACAGGCUUUAAUUGGAGAGGGUUCAAUCUGAGUGGGAGUGUUUCGCAGGCCAAUGCGGAGACAUGAAAUCUCACAAGGGCAUACGUACUUCACUCCCUUCUAAAGAUAGAGCUCGGGUGGAGGGCUUAUAUUAUGUACAUACAAGUGACUGAUAGAUACAAUAAGCAUAUAUUUAGGCCAACAUAGAUACUGAAUAAUAAGUCAGACAAAUAAAUAAUAAUAAAGUAGAUAUAAGCAAUGAAAAUAAGUAAUUUCAAAUUUGUUAGACAAGGCCUGGAUAAUAAGAAAUCUUUUACCGGUAUGACUCUUAUUACAGUCCCCAGCAAAAUUGCCAAAGUGUCAUAAUGUAUAGAUCCAUGAACCUACCGCUGACUUAAAAUGGAAAGGAGUCACCACCAAUCUUUUUUGUUAGGUAUGAUUGGCCACCUGAUUAAAGUUGAUCAACAAAAAAGAGGUUAGGUUCAGAAGUCGAUUGCACAUGGAAAAGGUUAUAGCAUCCCCAAAACGCCCAUCCAAGGGAUGGCACCAAUUUGAUUUCGAAUUAUCCAAGCCUUGCUUGUGAUUUUUUAUUUACCAGAUAGUAAAUUUUAUAUUUUCCCCUUUUUUUAGAAUAUUUUUUAGAAAAGACAAAAUAAUUUUUUCUUUCUUUUCUUUUUUUUUCUUUUUUGUGAAAAAGAUAGAAUAAUUUCUUUCCUUUUUUUCUAAAAAUAAAAAAAAAAAUAAAAUAUGGGUAAAAAUAAAUAACUUAGCAUAAAAAUCAAAAAAUAAAAAAAUAGAAAAAGUAAAACCUGCGGUCGGAUCAGGUCGGGAUGCGGGUCAGCGCGCGGAUCAUCGAGUCGAAGUGUAAAUCCUGGAUUGACAAAAUGGCGUCAUUUUGAAGCAGUAUAAAAGCACCUUUUAGCAUUUUUUCUCAGAACCCUAGAGCCUUUCUCUCUCUACCCUAAAAAUCCUCUAACCUCUUUCUAAAAUAUCCAUCGAAAAGUUUAACAGAAAACUAAAAAUAUCACUGGUUUCCAAAAACUUCAUCGAAAAAUUCAAUCGAAAACUAGAAAACCCAUUGGUUUCUGGAAAACCCAUCGGAUUCUUGAAACUUCAUCAAAAUCUCAUCGGAAACUUCAACUUUCAUCGAAAAUUUAACCCAAAAAUUCAAUGUUCUUCAGAAACUCUGAAAAACCCUGAAAAAUCUAAACAAAAACCCAAAAAAUCCAAAAAAUUCCCAGAUGAUUCUAAGCCCUUCCUAAACCUCUUACAACCUCAAAUCCUCCUUCAGAAACCCAAAAUCAUGCCCAAAACUACAAAUCGAACAUGAAAUCCCUAUCCUCGAAUCCUAGGAACCCUUACUACCAAAAUUUUCCUAAAGCUUCCCUAACAAUUUCCCUUGUGUUUUUUCUUGUUUUUGUGUGCCCCUCUGUGUCAGAAUUAGUCCAAUUUAUAGGCAGCCUAUGAUCAAUUUAGGAAAAGAACAGAAUCAAUCCCAGGCUUGAUUCUUGAGAUUACAUUCUGUCCAGAUGAGAUUUUAGGUCCAAAAUUUCUGCACCUCCCUGUUGAUACGAUUUGGGCAUUAAAAUUUGACUAUCAAGAUUUUGACUCUGAUUUUAUCACGUGGGAAUCAAAACAAAAAUGAAAAGAAGAAGAGAAAAGAAAAAGAAAAAAAUGAAAAUAUAUAAUAAUAAUAAUAAUAAAUAUAAUAUGGUAUAAUAUAAUAUAAUAGAAAAAAAAGAAAAUCAAAAAAGAAAAUAUUGAUAAUAAAUAAUAAUAAUAUAAUAAAAAAAAAAUCUAAUUAGACCUCAACGAGCCAGAAUGGGCCUGAACGAGAAUGGGCCUAAUUGUGCUUGGCUCUCAAUCGAGCUCGGACCAAUAUGGGUCCCAUUAAGCUUGGAUGAGAAUGGGCCCGGAUCAAAAUGAGUUUUUAACUGGGCUUGGGCUAGAAUAGGCUCAAUUGAGCCCGAACUAAAAUGAAUGUCUACAAUAACUGAUUUUUUAUACUUUUUCAAUAAAUCAAAUUUUAAUUUUAAUUCAUAAAUGUUACUUAUUGACGAAUAAUCAUUAAUAAAAUUAUCAUGCAUAUUGCCAAAAUCAUACUAAGUUUCUGAAAAGCAAUAAAAUUCUUUCUUUCUUUACACUUUCCACUCUUUUGGGAUCUCAUCUAUUUAUGCAAAUUAUACCGAGAUACAAAAGUUCUCUUUCUUUUUAUCAAUUAAGUAAUGGAAUUUAUAAAAUGAAUAACUUUUGAGUAUGGGUAUAUUAUUGACACCUCUAAAUAGCAAUGCUCUCCUUAUUAAUAUGGUAGAUUGGAUGCAUCAAGUUCCAAACCAAGUAGAUCAGGAAAGGUUCAAUGUUUUUCUAACAAUUGCUUAGGCUAUUUGAUACUCCAUAAUCAAAUUUUAGGGAGAGGAAUGAAAAAUAUGGAAAUUCUUACACUCAAAGGAAUAAUAUAUUCCAAACAUAGGCUUACUAUUUUCUGUAGGUUUUUUUUUUUUUCUUCAAUCUUUUUUGGAUAUCCCAUUGUUUAUGAGACAGCAAUAUUUUUCUUAUUGGUGUGUAGAGGCCAUGGUUUCGGGGUCAAACCCCCCUCCCGCCUAAAACUUUGUCUUUUUGUUUUAUUAAUUAAAAAAAUGAAACCGUGUCAAAAGGUUACUUUGUAUUUUAAUAGUAUAUAAAUAACCAAGUCUGCCUUCCUUACCCUCAUUUUUAUCUUUUUCUUCUUCUACAACUACUUGUUCCAUUCUUUCUCCUGUCAUAAGCUACAACAACAAUAAAAACAACCAUUAAUCUUUGUUUCCAGGUGGGAAAUGGAGUUUGAGCAACCCAUGUUUAGAGAAACAACGGAAGCCCUGAAAUUGAGGGCAGCAAAUGACAGUAAGACUUCAACCAGGGACAGGCAUAAGUCACCAGGAUCAACAUGCCGUUCCUAUGUUUCCAGCAAACUCUUCCAUGGCUCUGAAUCAUUCAGGACUCUAGAGAUGGCUGUGCCAAAGGUUGACUCCACCGAGAAAAAGCUGUCUUGGCUACGAUCUCAAAUCAUUGGCGGUGAUGCAGAAUUUGACUCUCCUUUUGGAACUAGAAAACUUACUUAUGCUGAUCAUACUGCAUCGGGUCGCUCUUUUCACUAUAUCGAAAACUUCAUCGUCACCAAUGUUCUGCCAUUCUACGGUAAAGGUUUUUUUUUCUUCUGAUCUUCAAUUGUGAUACUCUGAUUUAAUCAACAAAAGUGAUGGUGUCAUUUUCGAGUAUAAGAUAUAUAUAUAUAUAUAUAUAUUGGGGUUUUAGUAUUUGUCAGCUGAUCUUGGUUGGUUCGUGCGUAGGUAACACUCACACGUCUGACAGUUACGUGGGGCACAGGACGACGAAAAUGGUGCAUGAAGCGUCAAACUACAUUAAAAGAUGCCUAGGCGGCGGUCAAGAUGAUGCAAUUCUGUUUUGUGGCUCUGGCACUACGGCUGCUAUUAAAAGGCUACAAGAAGUUAUGGGGAUUACGGUACCAUCAAUUUUGAGGGACAUGGUAAUAAAUUGCUUAAUGAGUAUCGAUGGAUAGUUUUUAUUGGCCCUUACGAGUACCACUCCAACUUGCUUUCUUGGCAUCAAAGCCUUGCUGAAGUUGUUGAGAUUGGUUUAGAUGAGAAUGGGUUCGUAGACAUUAAAGCACUAAGAAAACAGCUUGAGCUGUAUAAAUACGCCAAUAGGCCUUUGCUUGGCUCAUUUUCAGCUUGUAGUAAUGUGACUGGGAUUCAAACAGAUACUCGAGAGAUUGCCAAACUUCUUCAUGAGUACGGAGGUUUUGUUUGCUUUGAUUUUGCAGCAAGGUACACAGCAAGAAUUUUCAUUUUUUGUUGUCAAGCUUUUAUAUUAGAGGUUGUCAGAAUUUAAACUUUGAUUGUUAAAAUUAAAAGUUUAAUAUUUUAAUAACAGAUCUCAAUUAAUUAUUAGCCAAGUUUAUGUAUUAUGUUAAUGUUAUAAAGCAAUGAGAAGUUGAUUUUUGACUGUGCGUAUCAUUUUGUUUUUGUGGAUAGUGGUCCUUAUGUGGAGAUUGAUAUGAGGUCAGGGGAGAUUGAUGGAUAUGAUGCCAUUUUCCUAAGCCCUCAUAAGUUUCUAGGUGGCCCUGGAUCGCCCGGCAUCCUUUUAAUUAGCAAGGCUCUCUACCAGCUAGGAUCUUCUCCUCCAUCAACUUGCGGAGGUGGAACUGUUAAUUAUGUCAAUGGUUUCAAUGAACAGGUAAUUACUCUCAAAUUUAAAAUUAAUUGAUAAUAAAUGAAGAGAUUUUUAUUAUAUUUAUGUGUUCAGAUUAAUUCAAUUUAAUAGAUGAAAAAUUUUAUUUUUGUUCACCUCUCUACUAUAAAAUGGAAAAUUUGUAUUUUCUUGACCUUUUUCUUAUUCUUGCUUACAUGUACCAUUUUGUAAGAAAUUUUGGUUUCUUUCUUCAACUGGACGACAUAAAGAAUGAUUAGGUAGCUGUCAGGCUUUUUGGAGUUUAGAAAUAAAUUCCUGAUUCAGAUGGAGCUGGUUUAGAUAUAGACUAGUGAAUGAUAAGUGUCUCUAAAAAAUUUUUUAUUUUAAUUACAAUUUUAGAAGAAAAGAGAUUUCCAACCAAAUUUCUGAAUGCAAGACUGUGUCAAUAGAAAAAUACUCUAAAGAAUGAUAAGUUAUCCUGAUAUUAAUCAGAUUCAUUCCCCAGCAUUUAGGGAAGCAGGUAUGCAAUUUAAUGUGGUAAAAUGGGGUAUUUAUUUUGCAGGACACAAUAUAUGUAAGUGACGUAGAAGAAAGGGAAAAUGGAGGGACUCCUCAAAUUAUUCAGAUUAUUAAAGCAGCGUUGACUUUAUGGGUAAAAGAAUAUAUUGGUUAUGAAGUGAUUGCAAAGCAGGAAAAGUCGUACAUAAAUCAAGCAUUGGAGAGGCUUCUCCCAAACCAAAACAUACGGGUUUUAGGAAAUGCAAGCACCAAGACCCAGAGACAAGCCAUACUGUCUUUCCUCAUCUACUCCACAACCAACGAUGGUAACAAUGUUGACGAGGCAGAGGAAAAGGGGAGGGGACUUUUCAUGUGGGGAGAGACUGGGAACAAGAGGGAUAAACCUCUCCAUGGCCCUUUUGUUGCAACCAUCCUAAAUGAUCUGUUUGGCAUCCAAGCUCGAGGUGGGUGUGCUUGUGCUGGACCUUAUGGCCACAGUUUGCUUGAUAUUGAUCAGACUCGAUCCCUUGCGUUCAGAGAAGCUAUUAAAAGGGUAUCAGUACAAGAUUUUCAAAUUUUUUUUUUCACCAAAUGAAAGAGAAGUAAAAUAUAAUUCAACUUAUCUAAUGCCAGUUGCAAAGUUUGAUUGCAGGGCUACAUAGGAGCAAAACCUGGAUGGACAAGAGUCAGCUUUCCUUACUAAAUGUCAAAUGAGGAGUUUGAAUACAUUCGUGCGGCAUUGGAGUUCGUAGCCAUCUAUGGCCAACGAUUUCUUCCUCUAUACCAUUUCAAC
rnacentral:lncRNA from 1 species